rnacentral:rRNA from 1 species
GAUGAACGCUGGCGGCGUGCCUAAUACAUGCAAGUCGAGCGAAGCGGGCACGCGUGAGUAACACGUGUAGAACCUGCUAUAAGAAUGGGAUAACUUCGUGAAACCGGUGCUAAAACCGCUUCUUAUCGCUUGAUCCGUGUUGCAUUAGCUAGUUGGUAAGGUAACGGCUUCACAAGGCCACGAUGCAUCGCCGACCUGAGAGGGGGAGCGGCCACACUGGAACGGAGACACGGUCCAGACUCCUACGUGAGGCAGCAGUAGGGAAUCUUCCGCAAUGGGCGAAAGCCUGACGGAGCAACGCCGCGUGAGUGAUGAAGGUCUUCGGAUCGUAAAGCUCUGUUAUUAGGGAAGCGGUACCUAAUCAGAAAGCCACGGCUAACUACGUGCCAGCAGCCGCGGUAAUUC